UUCGAGUCAAGUGCAAAACUACUUCGAAAGAAAAAGUGGUAAAACUUUGCUUUCAUGAUGAUCUCGAACUACAUUGUAUCCGCAGUCAUGCUUGCUGCAUAUGUGACCUAUGUAGCAGCUGCUAAAGCUAUUCCUUAUGGUCGCUAAAUGUCACGUAAUGUUAAAUCUCCAUAAAAUGAUCUUCCAAAUUAGCAGCAUUAAGGCAGAAGACUAUACCGAAGACAUGGCUUCAAUACUAAUGAAACACAUUCCAAGUACUCCACUCGAAAUGUUUUCAUAUUUCUCUUGCAUAUAUAAUACUUCCUUUGUCAAAAAAUUCCUGUUAUAUAAUUUGAUAUUUUCAAAUAACUGCAGAUUGGUAAUGAGACAAUAAAAUAUUUUUUGCUGCUGUG
rnacentral:lncRNA from 1 species